rnacentral:tRNA from 1 species
GCCCGGGUGGCUCAGUGGUUGAGUGUCUGCCUGCAGCUCAGGUCAUGAUCCGGGGGUCCAGGAUCGAGUCCUGUAUCGGGCU